UGUUUCAAUAUUCACUUCUUGUAGGUGUAAUGGAUAUCGUAGUUUGUAACUAAAAAAUAAUAAAUUAUCUAUAAUUAGAGCUCUAGAUUCGCAGCCAUGCUCUGUAUGUCUUUUCUAGAGAGGCCGUGCUCAGUGGGAUGCCCUUCCAACUUCGUAAUCCUUCAAUGGUAAAUUGUCUGGAUUGUGCACUCUGCUUCAGACAUGUUAUGAUUUCUGUCUUUAUCUGUUUUGGAAGGACAGUUGUGGACUGCUGCUGCUAUCAGAGUCAGAGGAUCGCUAAUAUUUAGUGUAUGGCUAUGAACAGUGUAAUGCUUAUUUAUUUAGAGGUCCUAUUGCCAGGAGGGACCCUCGCAAAUUUUAAAUGUGCCUAUGGCCUCUAGUGGCCACAGGAGUGGAGCACAGUGUUGUUUCUUUCAGCAAGUGUGUUUUUCUAAAGUUCCUAUCAAAGGCAGAGCAUCGUCCGAUAUCAAAGAGGCAGAUUGUGGGUUCCCGAGUUUCCAGGGAAGUGCCGUCGCCAAGAACUCGGUGAAGCUCAACAGAACAGCGCUUGCCUGUCCUCUCCUUUUCCCUGGCCCUUGUGUGUUUGACUCAUUUGCUCCUUGACAAGUAUAAAGAGCCGACCCCCUCGUUAGACUAACGAAGGCAACAACUGUUAGAAUUGGGUAGCACGCUCAGCUGGCUCCAACUCAAGCGGGGAGGGGGUGUAGUGAGAUGGGCGAACACAGCAUUAGAUAUUGUGAGGGAAAAAUAGAGAAGCAGGCAAAAGAGUGAGACAGAAGUUAAACAGUGUCUCUAUGAUGUUCCCAGAACAUUGUUCAGUGACCCAGUCUACCUCACAAGAGAGUGCAUUGAUGUUGUGUGUGAGAUGCUACAGUUUCACCGCUCAUGGCUUGGAUUUGGAGCUCAUCAGCUGAUUGGCUCCUUUGCUAGUCAUGCGACUCAAGGAUACCCGUGAGCUGCCUGCCCCUCCAAGUGAAACCUUGUUGGUGGUCCAGUAGAUGGCAUAAAACAGGGUGGCCCCAGAGUUUAGGGAUGGAGGUUGGAUGUUUGAUUCACUUCUAAGUGACGCUGUUUCUCAUGUUUUAACAUUACAAUGCCACAGGCAGCUAUUGAAGAAAAAAAAAAAUAUUAAAAAAAAAACAAAAAAAAAAACAUUCUCAGCCAUGAAAUUGUUGUACUGUAAGCGAAUGUGACAUUUCCUGCACUUUCAAAUGCUCUUAAUAGCAGUUCAGACACUUCAUUAAAAUGGUUCAUAAUGGUUUAAUGAGGACUGUUUCAGGACAUCAGGAUUCUUAUUGCCUGUAAGCCAGUGUUACUUUUGGGGCCCUAGCCAGAUGUUAACUUCAUGUCUUCAGUUUUUCCCCUCUACUGUAGGUCUCUUGUCCAGGUGUCAUACAUGCAGAUCAGUCACUUUUUGGCGAAAUUCGCCAUUUUUAACUCAAAAUAGACAAUUUACGUGAAUCUUAUAGAUUAAAUGAGUUUUUCCUGGAGAGUGGGGGUCGCCGUCGCUGACAUCAUAGACUGUUUCGUACUCCUUGAACGCUGGCAGCUAGAUCCAUUCCACACAUUCACCAUCCACACACCGAUGUAAUUGUGUAUAUUCCUCCGCGGCGGACUAAUAUGCGGCCUGAGGUUCCGCCUGUGCGCUCGGGACCUGGUCACAAGAGUUGAUGAGACCGGGAAAAAACGUCCGCCGCUUCUGCUGUUAAGAAGUAACGGUACUUUUACUCCGUUGCAAUGAUCUAAAUGUCGCUCGCUACUUUUAUGUAUCAGUUAUUGCUUAUUUAUCAACUAUUUCAUGUGCGAGACUACUACUUCGACUUCCGCAUCGGGCGCUGUUUGCGCCAAUCCAGUUUAAAAGCGAGUGACGUUUAAGUCUAGUUCACCAAUCAAACGACACAAAGUCACAUGACCUCCCACAACGUCUUCUGUUGGGCUUCCCGGACAUAGUUAUUAACACUAUAUAAGCCUGCCCCGCUGAUCGUCGUGCAUCCGUGAUGGCUGUUUUGGGAAGGUCGUCGUUACCAUUAAGGCAACGGCGCGCUACUCGUGUUUACAUUUAUACAAACAAAAACAACAGCUUUCAUGUAUUCUAGUAUUUGUCUGGGACUCUCUGCCCAAAUGUGGCUAUUUCAGCUCACUUAGAACUUGAGAAAAGACCCUGCAGUAAAUUGCAGAUUUCUUUGGAGUUUUGACUGUGCAUACACACUCGCACAUUCACAUUUUAUUUUGUAAUUUAUUUAUUUUUUAAUUGAUGUUCAUGCUGUGUUAAAAAAAAAAAAAAAAUUUAAAAAUCAGAAGUUACUCACUGUUUACUCAGUACUUGAGUAAUAAUUUCACGUUAUACUUUUUACUCUUACUCAAGUAAUUUUUUGGAGGACUAAUUUUUACUUAGUCACAUUAUUAUCAAGUAACAGUACUCCUACUUGAGGACAAUGUUUGGCUACUCUACCCACUUCUGGAGGGGACAUCCUCUAUGGCUACUCUUACAUUUAAGCAACAUUUUUGCUCAUCAGAUCAGCCCGUGUCAUAUUUGUUGCAUAGGUCUUUUGUAUUUUCGCGUUGAGGUGCUGCGGGUUGUGGCCCUGGUUUUAGUCCCAGCGGAACCGCGAAGCACACGUAACAUCGGCGACAAGAGUUGAUCUGCUACUACAUCUGCCAUAAUACAUUGUUAAAUGUAUUAAGCGACGGAGCUAUGUUAAGGAUUAUGUCACAACAUGGAAAUAACUAACUUCAAAUUCACAAAUGGCCAAUAAAAACUGAAAAAUAUUGUAUUUUAAUAUUUUCCUGGAGGAUGCAUUUGGGAUUAGCCUUUGAAGUUGGUAAUAGUGAAAAAUGAAGUGAAACAGACAAUGAUUUUAGUCAAUUCUUUCCAGAAUGAGAGCGCUUAAAGAGGAGGAUGCUAUUCAUGUUUGAAGCAGGCAUCAGGUGCAGGUGGAGAUAGGCCUGGCUCAAGUUGGAGGCCAAAACAAAAAAGCAAAUAAAUGAGGAAAAUUUAAUUAGAAUCUUAAAUUUGUACGUCAACAUGUACUUGAGCGGUGUAAAUAAAUAAUAAAUUUUGCCUUAUUGUACUCUUCAGAGUCUUCCAGAUUGCUUAAUUUAUGUUAAAAUCAAAAACAUUCUCUGCAGGGGCACGGGGAUCCCCCCAGAACCCCCUAAAAUAUAUAUAUAUAUUUUGUCACCUUUUUCAUGCCUUUGGUGUUUGCAUGUCUGAGGUGUUGAUACCCCUUGUCUAUACAAUGUAAGCCACAUUUCCAUUGUUUUAGUUUAGCUCGGUUUAUUACAGAACAAUUUGGAACAUCCAUCCAUCCAUUUUCUGAACCACUUCGCGGGCAUGCCGGAGCCUAUCCCAGCUAUCAUCGGGCAGGAGGCGGGGUACGCCCUGAACUGGUCGCCAGCCAAUCGCAGGGCACAUACAAACAAACAACCAUUCGCACUCACAUUCAUUUCUUGAGGCGCUGUAGGCAGGGUCCGGUAGCAGAGGGUGUCACACCGGGAAGCCAAAACUUAAUAGCUGCCGGGACGGGACCCCCUGCUCUCUGUAAUGGGAAGCAGUCUUCCUGCUAAAUGUGGUGGAGAGAAGUAAAUGCUGCUGUCUGCAGGCUGGUGUGCAUCACGGGGGGACCAGGAUGCUGAGGGAGGUGACAGCUCCACUGCUCACCUCCUCUCAUGGGAAGCCUGCUGCGUGCUUGCUUUGUUGUGCAGAGUCUGCCUGCUCGACUACUACCACCGGGUUUAACAGGGUUUGGUUUUCUUUCCUUUUAGUCUCAUUGCUUCAUCCUUUCUUCUCAGAUUUUUACUUUCAAGUUCUCCCUAUUCUACUUGUUUCAAUUUAGUCAUCUUUGCUUCUGCCUGCCCCCUCCUGCUGAAAUCCUACAAGUCUGUCCCCACAUCCAGAACCCCGCUUCUCUGUUGGCUUGGAUAAUGACCCUGCUGACAACUCAGUCCCAUGGCGGAAGUGGCUGUGGACCAGAGAGAGCGAGCUCUGUCUCCAACAUCAAUCACUUCAAUGGCCCCAGAUUUGGAAAGGGGAGAGAGAUAAGGCUAAUGCUCAGCUGUCUGCAGAAAAAUAGUUUUAGUUUAUGCUAUAUGUAUCCUCCACAUACGUUUAUGCUGAUUGCUUGUGUUACUAAGAGAUCAUCUGCACAAAUUAUCUAAAAUUAUCUUAAAAAGGCAUUUCUUUUUUGGCAUGCAGUUAGUCAAUCUAUAUCCAUGCACUGCUUGUUUACUCAGAGAGAGGGGGCAACUCUCAAUCCUAGUAUGGCAUGGGGCAACUACCCACAGUGUCUCUAUGGUAAUCAGCAGGUGUCACUCACCACAGAGAAGAAGCGAGGGCUUUCUUACGAGCGUGAGAAAGAGAGGCAGUCUCCCUCGCGCCCCCACCCUGCUUCCUUCCUUUUUUAUCCUGUUGGGGUAGCAGCAGCAACCACAGUGAUGGAGAGAAAGAUGGGUAAAAGGAGGGGAUAGAGAAGGCUACAUAGAGGCAGGGGUGGCCCUUCCCUUGCAACCUGGUGAUACUGCUGCCAAAGCCCUGGCAUUGGAGUACCUCAUCCAGCUGCAUGGGAGAGGGAAGAACCAACAAAGUGGUUUCAGUAAGCGGGCUAUGAUAAAGCUAUAAAGCAGAGAGAGGAAGAAAAAACCUGUGGCUUGUUAAGGAUGACAUAUCAUGUGGGCCUAUUAGUGCCUUAUAUGGGCACAGUGAGAUAAUGGGUGGGUAAAGGGUGUCUUUGCAUUGGAAGAGGCCCGACUCACAUUUCUGUGCCCAGUGCAUUCUAGAGUUGCUAGUUGCUUAGGCUCAAUAGUGACCCCCGCAUCAGGAAGACCCCCCUCUCCUCUGGAAGCAGGCCGCCUGUGGCUCAUUGAGAUGCAGGGCACUUGGUGGCAGGCUGCAGCUGCAGCUGACAGGCAGAACACGGGAAAAAAAGGCUGAGGGGAUGGCGGUGGGACUAAGCGGGGGAGGAAACAACAAAAGGCAUCAACCCCCCCUCCUCCAAUGAGUUUAAAUUUUCUAAUCCUCCACCUCCCCCAUCCUACAUCACCUCAUCCGAUUCUCACACAAACACACAUAUACUCUGUUCAUGCAGUUAGCACUGGCUCCUUUCUCCUCUCAUCCCCAAGCCAUGAAUGACCAGGCGGGAACAAAGACCAACAGCAGCCCCCUCAGGAAGUCCGACCUCUGGGUGUGGACGUUGAGAGCCGGAGUUUGUCUGAUGCUCUCUGGUACCUCUCACUGUGUUAGUGUGCAUUCACCCUGUUGUAGUGUGUAUCUCAUCACAAAGGCAGAGGCUUUUGGUAUUUUUAUGAGGUGCUUAAAACUUCAGUUGAUUACCUUUAGAAGUUGUGUGACAGGGAUUUGGUACAGAGUUGUUAAUCAGGUUGUACAGUAUGUCUUCCUUUGGGUGAUACAGUGACUUGAUGAGACAGACUUGAACCGCAAAUGGAUAACAUCAUUUUUGCUAUUCGUUUACAUGAAAAGCAGCAUUUUGGAAACUGAAACGCAAACAUUUUAAAACAUCUCAAACGGUCUCAAAGUUGAUGGUUACUGUUUCUGCCUACACACCCAUCGCCAGUAAUUGAGAUCAGCAGAGUGCGUUCGAUGAGAUGCCAUUCGGUCGGCAUGGAGGAGGGGCACAUUUUACUGUUCAAAAAACAUGCGUGAUUCGGAUGCGCAGCACCCUGUGCUGUGGUCUGAAAACUAAAUUCUCGCAUAUGGCUGUGGAAGCGCCAUAUGCUAGGCUAAGUUAAAACAGUCGGCUCGUGUAUACGGUACUUUGACAGGAAGUGACGCGACUAUAUGCAAAUGAUCAACAUAGUUUUUCAUGUAUUUUGUUUUGAUUGUCUUUUAUUUUUAGCUGUUAGUACUGAAAUAAGUCAAUUUAUACAUUGGCCUGAAACUGUUACCAAUAUCAAUAUACCUUAUCAGACUGUCAUGUAUCUAAAUUUUAGACACACCUUUCGUUUCAAAUUAGAAACCAAUUAUGGGUAGUUAAAGAUAAUUGGUGGGGGCUAGGGUGUGGGGGUGUUAGAUCAAGGGAUGUCGCCGAUCUUUCUCAACUGUGGGCCUCAGGAGCCCUUUGAUACAAAUAAACGUGACUUGACUUGAAAAGGGACCUAUUUUAAUGCUAAUACUAUCAAAUAGACCGCUUUUUCCUAAUUAAUAAUCAUUCUUUUGUAUUCUGCUCUAUUUCAUAGACUAUAGUGCAAUUAAUUUUACAAAACUAUUUGUAAACCACAAGUAUUUAAGUAUACAGUGUUCCCUCGCUAUAUCGCGGUUCCCCUAUUGCGGAUUCAGUGCAUCGCAAAUUUAAAAAAUCAUAUUCAUAUUGCUGAUAAUUACAUCUUUUUUAAAUUGCCGUGGCAAACUAAGAAUUUUUUUUAGCUAAGUCAUGGAAAAAACAAAUGCCAAUUUAUUCAAACACAGAUUACACUGAAUAAAACACCUGUACAGUACAGUACAAAAGCUCAGUUGUGCUGAGCGCUGAUAAUUCAGUGUCUCUGUACGCAUCGCUUCUCUGUGUCUGUGGGCAAGCUGAGAGAGAGUUUGUUGACGGUGUACGUCUCACGGUAACAGCGUUUCGUUACGUUAUCGAAAAAUGUGAGAUAAAUAGACUGACGUCUCGCUGUUUAUCAUUGGAAGACGUUACAAUACUUUGUCAAGCCCUACAAUGCCGCCAAAACAAGGUACCUGCUGGUUGGCAGUUGGCGGUGGAGCAUGAUGCUAGCAGUAGCACCUAUCUCGCAGUAAAGAUGGAACUUCUCGGCCAGUUGAAUAUAAGGCAGACUAGCACAAGGUUUAUGCCUGUCUGAAGUCAUUAUGGCAUAAAUGAAUCUUCGGUCCGCUUCAUAAAGAAGGACGUAAAUAAUAUCUGGGUGACAGCCGCAAUGCUCUUGCCGCAGUACAAUCGACAUCAACUUUAAUGCUUCCAUCCAUCCAUCCAUUUUCUUUACCGCUUCUCCUCACUAGGUUCGCGGGGUGCUGGAGCCUAUCUCAGCUAUCUUUGGGUGGGAGGCGGGGUACACCCUGAACCGGUCGCCAGCCAAUCGCAGGGCACAUAGAAACAACCAACCAUUCGCACUCUCAUUCACACCUACGGGCAAUUUAGAGUCUUCAAUCAACCUACCACGCAUGUUUUUGGGAUGUGGGAAGAAACCGCAGUGCCCGGAGAAAACCCACCCAGGCACAGGGAGAAGAUGCAAACUCCACACAGGUGGGGCCGGGAUUCGAACCCCAGUCCCCAGAACAGUGAGGCAGAUGUGCUAACCAGUCGGUGCCGGCUCUUCUGGCUUCCACAUCAACAUAAUUAAAAUUUUAAAUGAAAUAAAACAGGUGCACUUACUUAAUUUACAAAACUCUUUAAAUUCUAUGCCUGUUUGAUGGCCUUUCUGUCUGUCUGUCUGCUGCAGCUACUCUUUAUCUUCUCACCUUUCUUCAACGCCGGGUAGACGCACAAAGACAAUCGGGCUGUUUUUGUCCCAAUUUUGCCCCUUACCGACCAAGCAUGUCAAACGCCAGACUAUCUUUUGUCUUACAAGAUUAUCCUAUAACAUUAUCCUUAGGUCUGAGGUGUGUUAAGCGUGGGUUUGUCCCAAUAAUAGGGUCCGAAAUGGGUUGGGCACAUUUAAUAUUGAACACAUUUAAUAGUCAUUCCGACGUGAAAACGGGAUGUAACCAAUCAAAGAAGUGCCCUAGACUGAAAAACACUGAAACAACUGUAAAUAAAAACAAACGUCAAAUGUCUUACACGAUGUCACUUUUUGUAGAAAAAGUAGGCUCCCCAAAUGGCAAGAGGUAUUUUACAAAGCAUUUCCUUUUAUUAAUCUACAUCACUUCUGCCUCCAUUCCCUCCGGCAACACUCUGCACAUACCCAAAAGUGUCUGCCCGUCUUUGUUUUUGUGUGAUCAUGCGAGAUUUCAAGAUGGGCGAAAAGACAGUCUCUUUGUGUGUGGUAUUCUGUGUUGAGAUUAUUCGAGCACACCACACACACAAUACAACCAAAAUUGUUAAAUCCCUUUUUUAUGUAUUUAUUUUCUGUGGGGUCUGUCACAGAUGGUCUUUUAAGACAUGAAAAAUCCUUCUGUUUACCAGGCCCAACAUGACAACUUAACAUCAGCAAACAGCAAGACAAGGCUUCGAAGUCAUGGAUUUCAUUAGUGCAAUACUUUGUAUAGAUGCCUGAUGAGUGUUGUGUGAUGAAGAAGAAGAAAAAACAUCGGUUCCAGGCAAAAAGGCACUUUUCUCAUCCAGGGCAAAAGGGCUAAUGCCGGAGCACCACUAGGGGUCUAUUUGUGGACGUCCCUGUUUACCAGUCUUACGCUUCAGUGAAGGGGUUUUCAGAAGGCUGUCAAUCCUGUGGGGUCCUGUGGCCAGAUGAUGGGUAAGCAUGGGCAUAGUGUUUCUUAAUAAAACUAUUGGCCCGGUAUGCACAAGUAUUUUAUUUUGUUGGUUAAUGUGAAUAGGUAUUGUUUGGAGAACAUUGUCUCUAUGUGAAACUUUUCAAAAACCCAAAGGAAAAUCUUUUCCAUAAAUUGGAAAUGAGUCCUUAACAUUCCUGUCGAGGUCAUGUAGAGGCAACCGAACAUCAGAAAUUCAGUUCUCUUAACAUUUUUCCUUUAUGAAACCACCUUCAUCCAGUAGUCAUUUUACUGUCAAGUCCUCUUAAUCCAAGUUGACUUCUGCAUACAAAGGAAGUACAUUUCUAUCUUUUACUUUUUCCCCUUCAAAAAUGUUUUAAAUCCAGCAUCUGGAGUACAAUGGUUUCCUUGAACGAGCCUUGAUGAUGUAGUGACUGUUUCACAGAUGUUGUGCUAUAAGUUUUUACCUCUGUCCUCAUUUCAACUCAAGUGAAAUCACAGACUAUCAAUGUAUUGGGCAUCUUUAUUUUUCACAGAUGGAGAUAUAUAUACUGAACAAAAAUAUAAACACAACACUUUUGUUUUUGAUCCCCUUUUUUGUGAGCUGGACUUCAAGAUCUAAAACUUUUUCUCCAUACACAAAAGACCAUUUCCCUCACAAAUCUGUCUAAAUCUGUUAGUGAGCAUUUCUCCUUUGUCGAGAUAAUCCAUCCCACCUCACAGGUGUGGCAUAUCAAGAUGCUGAUGAGACAGCAUGAUUAUUGCACAGGUGUGCCAUAGGCUGGCCACAAUAAAAGGAAGCUCUGAAAUGUGCAGUUUUAUCACACGGCACAAUGCCACAGAUGUCGCAAGUUCUAAGGGAGCGUGCAAUUGGCAUGCUGACUGCAGGUUAUGUCCACCAGAGCUGUCACCCGUGAAUUAAAUGUUAAUUUCUCUACCAUAAGCCGUCUCCAAAGACAUUUCAGACAAUUUGGCAGUACAUCAACCGGCCACAACCGCAGACCACGUGUAACCACACCAGCUCAGGAUCUCCACAUCCAGCAUGUCUACCUCCAAGAUCGUCUGACACCAGCCACCUGGAAAGGUGCUGCAACAAUCGGUUUGGAUAACCAAAUAGUUUCUGCAGAAACUGUCUCAGGGAAACUAAUCUGCAUGCUCGUCGUCCUCAUUGGGGUCUCAACCUGACUGCAGUUUGUCGUUGUAACUGACUUGAGUGGGCGAAUGCUCACAUUCAAUGGGAGCUUGCACGUUGGAGAGGUGUUCUCUUGGUAAUGCACGGCCCCAUGUUGGAUCUGUACACUUCCUGGAAGCUAAAAAAAAUCCCAAUUCUUGCAUGGCCAGCAUACUCCCCGGACAUGCCACCCAUUGAGCAUGUUUGGGAUCAUCGUAUACGACAGCGUGUUCCAGUUCCUGCCAAUAUCCAGCAACUUCGCAAAGCCAUUGAAGAGAAGUGGACCAAUACUCCACAGGCCACAAUCAACAACCUGAUAAACUCUAUGCGAAGGAGAUGUAUUGCACUGCAUGAGGCAAAUUGUGGUCACAACAGAUACUGACCGGUUUUCUCCCCCUCCCCAAUAAAGCAAGACUGCACAUUUCA